UGAGGAAAAUCUUGGCUUUUAUAUUUGCUGUAUUCUGGUCGGUCGGGAGCGCGAAAGAAAUUUCCGAAAAAUGAUUUAAUUGAUGUUUUAGGUAUUAUUUAAGUGUUCACAUAACCUCGAAAUUUCGUUGACACCUCUUUGGGCGGGAAUCUCGAAAGAUUUUAUACUUUCGCUCGGUUGUCCAUAAAAAUGACACAAACCAUUUUGAAAAGCAGCUUGGAAAAUGCUUCCUUCAAUAUUAUGUUUCAGAUAUUAUGCCGAGGUGUCACAUUCGUUUUAAAUGCUUUCGUUGUUCGACACGUUGGUCAAGCAGUUCUGGGAGUUAUAAAUGUGAGACUGUUGUUGUUGGAAUCUAUGAUCCUGUUCUUAUCCCGAGAACCAUUCAUGAAAGCAUGUUUAACAAACACAGCAGAACAUAAUUGGGCCCAAGUUGUUAAUCUGUUAUGGAUAACGGUUCCUAUUUGCCUUUUAAUGUCAUUAACGUUUGGAUACAUUUGGCUAUUUGUCUUAACAGCAUCCGAAGCACUACCUGCGUAUUAUACGUUUGCAGUUUGGGCAGUAGCUUUAUCUUGCAUUAUCGAAAUGUCAUCUUUAAUCGUUCAACUAGUUGCAAGCGCAUUUUUAUUCGUCAGGCUGAAAAUUAUACUUGACACUAUCAUGAUCGCCAUUCGAACUCUGACAUUCGUACCACUAAUACUUCACAAUCCAGAAAAUGCAUUAUUUGCAUUUGGUGUGGCUCAACUGACAGCGGCAAUAUUUCAUACUACUAGUCACUAUGGAUAUUUUUAUUAUUAUAUUAAAAGAAUGAAUAAGUGUAAGUUAAAGCGAAGAAUGUCAUUGAAAGACAAUAGCGACGAAUAUGUUGUUAGAGAAUUUCCAUUUCAAACGAUAAAAGACUUUUUGCCUGGACAUCUGAAGAACAAAGAACCGUACGUAGAUAAAAAAUUGACUAUCCUUACAUGGAGUUUCUUUAGACAAGGGAUUCUGAAACAAAUUUUGACAGAGGGGGAAAGAUUAAUUAUGACGGUAAUGCCAGUAUUGACAUUUACAGAGCAGGGAACGUAUGAAAUUGUGAAUAAUCUAGGUUCUUUAGCAGCAAGAUUUAUUUUCCGUCCAAUAGAAGAGAGUGGGUAUUUCUAUUUUACCCAAAUGAUCAAACGGGAUAAACAAAUUAACGAUCAAAAUCCUGUAAAAAUUCAAGAAAGCGUAAACGUACUUGCACAUUUAUGUUCAGCUGUUUUAUCUAUUGGUUUAGUCGUUUUGGUAUUUGGACAGUCUUAUUCUAGUACUCUGUUAUGGCUCUACGGUGGUACGAAAUUAACGUCCCAUCUACCGAUACUUUUAAUGCGAGCGCAUUGCCUGGCCAUUCUACUAUUAGGAAUAAAUGGAGUAACAGAAUGUUAUACAAAUGCAACGGCUGACAGCGCUACUAUAAAUAAAAGCAACUUAAUUAUGAUUUACGAAUCGAUCGCGUUCCUAGGCGCAUCGUAUUUGUUUGCUAUUUGGUUCGGUCCAGUCGGUUUCAUUCUUGGAAAUUGUGUAAACAUGAGCUUGAGAAUUUUUCAUUCUACAGUUUUCAUUAAUAGAAGAUACAAAGAUACAGUGUAUCGUCCAUUGAGUGGAUUAGUACCAAAGCCAAUGUUUUCUGCUUCGCUUCUUAUAGCAGCUUUAGUCACCAAUGUGUCUCAUGCUUACUUCUUCCCUGGUGACAAGGUCUUGCACCUAAUUAUCGGAGUGAUAAUGUUUAUAGUUGUACUUGUAUCUUGGAUCUAUGAACAUCACGAUCUGAUCAGGCUUGGUACAAAUAAGUGGUACGAACGAAGAAAUAGACACAAGAAAAGUGACUGACCUUAACUCGGUUAAUCAUAAUGGUUUAUUGCUAUUAAACAUAUGAAUUAUCUACAAAGAGGCUGCAGUGCAGAACUUAUAGACAUCCUUAUAAAUUGCACCUACUACAGGACCUUGGCGUUGUAUAAGGCACAUCCUACAAAAUUGUUUACAUUGUUUUUUGUAUUUAUAAUUUAUUACGAUCUUCCGUUUAAAA